CCCCACAAAUCUGCAAUGGUUUGGCACGUUGGAGGUUAAAAACUGAAAAAAGGAAUCUACCAAUCUUCAGACAAAGGAAGAAGAGAUAGGAGGAGUUCAACAGUGAGCCUGGUAUACCAAUGUAUUCAGCUAGACCAGAUCAAGCAGUACAGGUGCUUAAGCAUGUGUAUAACGCUGCACCAAAAAAACUCAAAGGAAAGGAGCUUGAGCUUCUUUUGGUAAUCCUCCCUGACAACAAUGGCUCGUUGUAUGGUGACAUAAAGCGCAUUUGUGAAGCCAAAUUGGGAUUAAUAUCACAGUGCUGUUUAGCAAAGCAUGUAUUUAGCGCAAGGAGCUACUGAAGGUGAUGGAGUCAUUAGCCUUGUAGCACAAAACUAUUGGGUGUUGACUACAUUGUUUAUAAGGUGGUAAGGCGACCUAAGGCGAGCACCAGCCCUCCUGGCGCCUAAGCGCUUAAAGCGGGCAUAAUUGUAAGACACUGCAAGUGCACCGUACCGCUAAGCGUCCAAGGUGGGAUGCCUUAAAAACAAUGGUUGACUAUGGUACAAAUGAAAUGUCUUGCUUAUUUGGUGGACUAAAUGA